ensembl:lncRNA novel transcript
GGCACGUCCGGGACCCUCCGGCCGUGGCGGUUGCAGCGCCAAAAGCUCGGGCCUCAGCCCCUGACGCUGUGGUGACUCCGCCGCGCCUCGCCGUCGCCCCUGUCCCCGUCCUGCCCGCCGCCUCCGCCGCUGGGGACAUGUCCAACCCCGGAAGCCGGAGGAACGGGCCCGUCAAGCUGCACCUGACAGGAGGUGAAGUGAAAUCUGCAAGAGUCCUGCUCGCUCAAGGCCUGCAUACAGGAAAGAAGCAGGGGAAAAGCGUUACAAACAGCUUUUGUUCUACAGCAUUUUAAAAUAUAACAGGUAUAUUGAAAAGUCUGAUUCAGUUACAAUCAGUGUAUGGAAUCACAAGAAGAUCCAUAAGAAACAAGGUGCUGGAUUUCUCCGUUGUGUUCAUCUUUUUCCAGUGCCAUCAACCACCUCAAAGACACUGGUUUAAUAUUGAAUUUAUCAAAUAUUUAUUGAGCACCUACCUGAUGCAAUGUUCUACUGGGUUGGAGUGGAAAAUACAAAGACUACGAUAUGGUCUCCUCCUUUUAUCAAUUCACAAAUAAGUAGACAGAUGGCAUACGGUUGUAAAAUUAUUCAGCUAUCAGAGGUUGGAUUUAUGCAAACCUGGGCCAAAGGACAGUUAGAAGACGACGGAGUUUCACUCUUGUCGCCCAGGCUGGAGUGCAGUGGCGUGAUCUUGGCUCACUGCAACCUCCGUCUCCCUGGUUUAAGCGAUUCUCCAGCCUCAGCCUCUGGAAUAGCUGGGAUUACAGUGCUGAUGGGCCCGUGCAACAGUUGCUGGUAAAUGGCUGAUUAAAAAGCACAGAAAGCCGAACAAGACCCAACCAAAUUUGGUAAUUCAUCCGAUUCAAAAUUGUUUUGGUUAAAUCAAAAAUACAAGUACACGACCGCA